rnacentral:rRNA from 1 species
GACGUAGGGGGCAAGCGUUAUUCGGAAUCAUUGGGCGUAAAGCGCUCGUAGGCGGAUCGAACAGUCGGUGAAGAAAGACCUGGGCUCAACUCAGGGAACGGCACCGAUACUAUCGGUCUUGAGGCAAUCAGAGGAUGAAGAAAUUCCCGGUGUAGCGGUGAAAUGCGUAGAUAUCGGAAAGAACACCAAGGGCGAAGGCACUCUGCUGGGCCGAAACUGACACUGAGAGACGAGAGCUAGGGGAGCAAAUGGG